rnacentral:rRNA from 1 species
AACGAACGCUGGCGGCAGGCCUAACACAUGCAAGUCGAGCGCGCCCUUCGGGGUGAGCGGCGGACGGGUGAGUAACGCGUGGGAACGUGCCCUUCUCUGCGGAAUAGCCUCUGGAAACUGAGAGUAAUACCGCAUACGCCCUUUGGGGGAAAGAUUUAUCGGAGAAGGAUCGGCCCGCGUUGGAUUAGGUAGUUGGUGGGGUAAUGGCUCACCAAGCCGACGAUCCAUAGCUGGUUUGAGAGGAUGAUCAGCCACACUGGGACUGAGACACGGCCCAGACUCCUACGGGAGGCUGCAGUCAAGAAUAUUCCACAAUGCACGAAAGUGUGAUGGAGCGACGCCGCGUGCAGGAAGACGCCCUUCGGGGUGUAAACUGCUUUUAUAAGGGAAGAAUUUGUGACGGUACCUUAUGAAUAAGUGGGUGCUAACUCUGUGCCAGCCGCCGCGGUAAUAC